UCACCGGGUGCAAAGUUAGGACUUGUAUGCGUAAUUCCGGCUACCUGAUAUUAUCGAAAGAGG
rnacentral:ncRNA from 1 species